rnacentral:rRNA from 1 species
AGCGAACGCUGGCGGCGUGCUUAACACAUGCAAGUCGAACGUGAAAUGUAGCAAUACAGAGUAAAGUGGCGUACGGGUGAGUAACACGUGGGUAAUCUACCAAAGAGCCUGGAAUAACCGACCGAAAGGUUGGCUAAUACUGGAUAGUUCAAAUGAAAUAUAAUGUUUCGAUUGGGAAAGGGAGCGAGCAAUCGCCUUCACUUUUUGAUGAGCCCGCGUCUGAUUAGCUAGUUGGUAGGGUAAUGGCCUACCAAGGCGACGAUCAGUAGCUGGUCUGAGAGGAUGAUCGGCCACACUGGAACUGAAACACGGUCCAGACUCCUACGGGAGGCAGCAGUGGGGAAUCUUGCGCAAUGGACGAAAGUCUGACGCAGCCACGCCGCGUGAGUGAAGAAGGCCUUCGGGUUGUAAAGCUCUGUCGGAAGGGACAAAAACGUUUAAGGUUAAUAGCCUUAGAUCUUGAUGGUACCUUCAAAGGAAGCACCGGCUAACUUCGUGCCAGCCGCCGCGGUAA